rnacentral:rRNA from 1 species
CACUCCUACGGGAGGCAGCAGUGGGGAAUAUUGCACAAUGGGCGCAAGCCUGAUGCAGCCAUGCCGCGUGUAUGAAGAAGGCCUUCGGGUUGUAAAGUACUUUCAGCGGGGAGGAAGGCAAUACGGUUAAUAACCGUGUUGAUUGACGUUACCCGCAGAAGAAGCACCGGCUAACUCCGUGCCAGCAGCCGCGGUAAUACGGAGGGUGCAAGCGUUAAUCGGAAUUACUGGGCGUAAAGCGCACGCAGGCGGUCUGUCAAGUCGGAUGUGAAAUCCCCGGGCUCAACCUGGGAACUGCAUUCGAAACUGGCAGGCUUGAGUCUUGUAGAGGGGGGUAGAAUUCCAGGUGUAGCGGUGAAAUGCGUAGAGAUCUGGAGGAAUACCGGUGGCGAAGGCGGCCCCCUGGACAAAGACUGACGCUCAGGUGCGAAAGCGUGGGGAGCAAACAGGAUUAGAAACCCCAGUAGUCCCAUGA